GAUGAAGAACGUAGCGAAAUGCGAUACUUGGUGUGAAUUGCAGAAUCCCGUGAACCAUCGAGUCUUUGAACGCAAGUUGCGCCCGAAGCCACUAGGCCGAGGGCACGCCUGCCUGGGCGUCACACGCCGUUGCCCCCCCAUCUACUCCUUCGGGAUUGCGGGGGGGCGGAUGAUGGCCUCCCGUGCGCCUAGCCGCGCGGUUGGCAUAAAUACCAAGUCCUCGGCGACGCACGCCACGGCAAUCGGUGGUUGCGAAACCUCGGUUGCCCGUCGUGUGCGUUCGUCGCGCAUCGAGGGCUCGAAAAAAUGCUCGGCUCCGGCUGGGCUUUCAACGCGACCCCAGGUCAGGCGGGGUUACCCGCUGAAUUUAAGCAUAUCAAUAAGCGGAGGA
rnacentral:misc_RNA from 1 species